rnacentral:rRNA from 1 species
UACGAAGGGGGCUAGCGUUGCUCGGAAUCACUGGGCGUAAAGGGUGCGUAGGCGGGUCUUUUAAGUCAGGGGUGAAAUCCUGGAGCUCAACUCCAGAACUGCCUUUGAUACUGAGGAUCUUGAGUUCGGGAGAGGUGAGUGGAACUGCGAGUGUAGAGGUGAAAUUCGUAGAUAUUCGCAAGAACACCAGUGGCGAAGGCGGCUCACUGGCCCGAUACUGACGCUGAGGCACGAAAGCGUGGGGAGCGAACAGG